GCCGGCGGCACAUGCCUGUAGUCCCAGCUACUCGGUUGGCUGAGGUGGGAGGAUUGCUUGAGCCCAGGAGUUCUGGGCUAUAGUGCGCUAUGCCAAUCAGGUGUCCACACUAAGUUUGGCAUCAAUAUGGUGACCUCCCCGGAGCGGGGGACCACCAGCUUACCUGGACCACCAGAUUCGAACCACCGGCCCAGGUUGGAAACGGAGGUCAAAACUCCCAUGCUGAUUAGUAGUGGGAUCACUCCUGUGAAUAACCACUGCACUCCAGCCUGGGCAACAUAGCGAGACCCUAUCUCUU
ensembl:misc_RNA Metazoa_SRP Metazoan signal recognition particle RNA